GGAGUUGCUUGAGCCGUCGUUGACUUGUGAAGUGUGGCUGGAGCAGCUCCCCCGCUAACUUUCAUGUGACCCUCCAUGCCACCGUGCUUUGCCAUCUGACCAUCUCCGCGCGCCCCACACCAGACACAAAGCCGAUCCAAAUCAGCCGGUGAUAGAGCAAGAUCCAGCCAGCCCAAAUCCAACUGCCUCGCUACAAAUCGUGAUGAUCCGAUCUGGGAUCUCGGAGAAAAGGAGGCGGAGGCGCAGGUCCGGAGCUGCAGCAGGCGUGGGAGGUGCUCCGGCCGGAGUUUCAUUUUCUUGAAGUGGAGCCGGCGGCGCUCUGACGAGGGCGUUGUUGGAGGAGUACCACGCGCUGGUGGGACACACGCCUCGCGGUGUCCGCGUUGGUUUAUCGCGGCGGCCGUCAGUUUGCCCGGCGGAGGACAUCGACUGCCCCGAGUACCCGCUCGCCGUCGACAAGGACGGGCUCCCCACCCGGCGCCCAAAGCCAAGACGUCACCACGUUGGGUUGCGGUGCCUUCGCGGUGGCUGACGGCCGCGGUUGGGGAGCUGGCGAGCCGGGCGGAACGCGUCUGGGUCUGGGUGACGACGGCGUGAGAUUGGGGAAAGUUGAAGUGCAGGGGAAAAAAAUCUAACUGCCACGACGCAGCAAAAAUGGCGAUGAUCCUAGAUGCCUUUGCAUACUAUGUGCAAAAUAUGCUCACGGAGAUGGUGAAGGAAGAAGUGCACAUGCUGCUUGGAGUCGGAGAUGACAUCGACAAGAUGGAUGUCAAGCUUGGGGAUCUCAAGAACUUCCUUGCCGAUGCUGACAGAAGGAACAUCACAGACAAGAGCGUGCAAGAGUGGGUGGGCCAGCUCAAGCGUGCCAUGUACGAAGCCGCCGACAUACUCGACGUCUGUCAGCUCAAGGCCAUGGAGCGUGGUUCAUCCACUGUGGAUGUCGGGUGCUUCAAUCCCUUGCUCUUUUGCAUGCGGAAUCCCUCCCAUGCCCACGACAUCGCCACCCGCAUCAAGGGUCUGAACAAGAGGCUCGACACCAUCAAGGAGCGAAGCGCUGCUUUCAGCUUCAUCAAUCUUGGUUCAUACGAGGACCGUAGCAGCAAGGUGCACGCUUCUCAUUCUGGAAAUACCAGACGUGAGACAUCAGGGGAGUUCGAUCGGUCGGGUAUAGUCGGGGAGAAGAUCGAAGAAGACACAAGAAAGCUGGUUGAGAUCAUGUUGACUGAAAAAGAGGGCAACGCCAACAUCAUGGUGGUUGCCAUUGUUGGUGUCGGCGGCAUAGGUAAGACCACUCUUGCCCAGAAGGUCUUCAAUGACGAAACCGUGAAGGCCGAGUUUGAUAACACAAUAUGGUUGAGCAUCAACCAAGACUUCGACAGGGUUGAGCUGCUCAGGACAAUCAUCACCCUUGCUGGGGGAAAACACUGUGGUGAAAAAGCGUUGGCUGUGCUUCAGCCAAUUCUCACUACUGCCCUGACAGGGAAGAAGCUAUUGCUGGUGCUAGAUGAUGUGUGGAGUCACGAAGCAUGGGGUGAUGUGCUUGAAAUACCCUUGGCUAAUACUCUGGUUCGAGGUAGUAGGGUCCUCCUCACUACUAGAGAUGAGAGAGUUGCUCGAGGGAUGAAAGCUGUGCUUCCCUACCACCACGUGGACAAAUUGAAGGAGGAGGAUGCCUGGUCAUUGCUCAAGAAACAGAUAGUCUCAAGUGUGACUGAUAUACAUGAGAUAGAUAUGCUCAAGGAUAUUGGCUUGCAAAUUGUAGCAAAAUGUGAUGGCUUGCCUCUUGCUAUCAAAGUAAUGGGAGGACUCUUGUGUCAGAAGGAUAAUCAACACAGUGACUGGAAGAUGGUUCUGGAUGAUUCUAUAUGGUCAGUAUCUGGAAUGCCCAAAGAGCUAAACCAUGCAGUAUAUUUGAGCUAUGAAGAUUUACCUUCUUGCAUCAAACAAUGCUUUCUAUGCUAUUCCCUUCUCCCUAAAGCUGCAAAGUUUCUAAGAGAGGACAUAAUUGGCAUGUGGAUUAGUGAAGGAUUUCUACAUGGACCCUCAGACGACUUGGAAGAAUUAGGAAGAAAGUACUAUAAAGAGUUGAUACAGAGGAACCUUAUAGAGCCAGAUUCAAAGUACAUUGAUCAACUAUUUUGCAACAUGCAUGAUGUCGUUCGCUCGUUUGCUCAAUUUGUGGCUAGAGAUGAGGCAUUAGCAGCUCACAGUGGAGAAAGUAAUAUUGUUAGUAAACUUUGUGCACGUAAGUUUCUUCGGUUGUCGCUAGAAAGCAAAGCAUCAGGAUCAGAUGGGUUAGACUGGAGUUCUUUACAAGCACAAGACACACUGAGAACACUAAUUUCAGUUGGCCAUAUAAAUAUGAAGCCCGGUAAUUCAUUGGUUCAUUUUCCAUGUCUACGAACUCUGCAUAUAGAGUCUGCACAUGCCGCGUUGGUUGAAUCUUUGCAUGAAUUCAAGCACUUGAGGUACUUAUCUUUAGAACGGUCAGAUAUCCGUAGGCUUCCAGAAAGCAUUGGUAAAAUGAAAUUCUUGCAGUACAUUAGCCUUAGAGGAUGCCAACAAUUUGUGGAACUUCCACAUAGCAUUGUAAACUUAGGACACCUAAGGUACCUUAACUUCCAGAAAACAAGUAUAAAUGGCAUACCUAGGGGGUUCCGUGUUCUGACAAAUUUGAGGAAAGUAAAUGGAUUUCCGGCCCGGGUGGAUGGUGAUUGGUGCAGUUUAGAAGAGUUGGGCCCUCUUUGUCGGCUCAAGUAUCUUGAAAUACAGGGGUUGGAGAAUGUAACUGCUUCCUCGUUCUCAGCAAAGGCAAAGCUUGUUGAGAAGUUGCAUCUUACCAACCUAUGCUUAACCUGUGGUAGUAGAUUGGGGGAUGACGGGCUGAUUGAAGAAGAGACCCAACAAAUUGAGAAGGUGUUUGACGAACUCUGCCCUCCUCCCAGCUUAAAUUUUCUUGCCAUCGAAGGAUAUUUUGGCCGACGACACCCAAAGUGGAUGAUGUCAUCAUCAGAUAUGCCCCUCAAGAACUUGAGGAUUCUGAUGGCUGAAGAUCUGGCUUCGUGCACACAACUUCCUGAUGGCUUGUGUCAGCUUCCUUAUUUGGAGUUCCUUCAGAUUGACCGUGCCCCAGCCAUCAAGCGUGUUGGACAUGAAUUCCUGCAGUCCUAUCAUCACCAGAAUCCUCAUCCUUCCAAGGCGGUGAUUUCAUUUCUGAGAUUGCACACAAUGAAGUUAAUGGGCUUGGUGGAAUGGGAGGAGUGGAAGUGGGAGGAGCAAGUUCAAGCCUUUCCUGCCCUGACUGAACUUAUUCUGUUUGAAUGCAAUUUGAACCGUCUUCCUCCUGGCCUUGCCUCCCAGGCAAGGGCUUUGAAGGUAUUAUCCGUACAGCAGGUCAAGGGUCUCAUCUCUCUAGAGAACAUUGCUUCCCUGAUCGAGCUGCAAGUAAUUGAAAACUUCCACUUGGAGAGAAUCACUAAUCUCCCCAGACUGCAGAAGCUUACCAUCACCCGCUGCCCAAAGUUGAAGGUGCUGGAGGGUGUUCCUGCACUACAGAGGCUCAUGCUCGAGGACGACUACAUGGAGACACUCCCAGAAUACAUGGGAAGUAUAAACCCAAGACGUUUGGAGCUCUACUGCAGCCUGGCGCUGCUUGCUUCCAUGGCAGUGGCACAAUCUGGACUUGAGUGGGACAAGUUCAGCCAUAUUGAGCAUGUCAAGGCAUAUGCACAUGAAGGAGACAAUCCAAGGAAAUGGUAUGCAUUGUACACAACUAAUCCCUACAACUUGGAGACAAAUGUCAACAGCUCUGCUUUGAUGUAUAGAGGAACCUUAUUUUCUUUGGAGGAUGCGCAAACAUUUGAGUCUGUCUUCAAAAUGACAAGAAGAACUUUUAGGUAUAUCUGCAGCUUGGUGAGUCUGGAAUUGAAUUAUAUGACAUGCUACACCUUUGCUGAUGGGAGGGAGCUGUCUUUACAAGAUCUAGUAGCCAUUGUUCUCAGAAGGUUGUACUCUAGUGAGCCACCGGAGACAAUAGGAUCCACUGUUGGUGUGAACGAGUCAACCGUCUUGUUGGUAACUGAGAGCUUUGUUGCUGUGUUGUGCAAUCGAGCAAAGCAUCACUUGCUUUGGCCAGACUCCAGUAGAAUGUAUAAGAUCAAAUCCAUGUUUGACAAGAUCCACAAUAUGAAUAACUGCUGCGGUGUUAUAUGUACAACUCGCAUCCCAUUUGGACCAAACCGCGACAGUGAGUAUUAUUGCAGUGUUAUAAUGCAAGUCAUCAUUGAUCCAGAGAUGAGGUUCACAAACAUUUGGUUGGCAUCGACAGGUAGCAUGAAUCCCUUCAGCAUUUUACACAACUCUUCACUCUUCAAUGAGUGCCAGAAGGGUGAUUUGCUGAAUGGCAACAAGCUGAAGGUAGCAUUAGAUGGAUCAGAAGUAGGGGAAUACAUAAUUGGUGAUGUAGAAUACCCUCUUCUCCCCUGGCUACUCACGCCUUACAAGGAAGAAGAGCUCUCCGACUCCAAGGUGGAGUUCAAUAGGAGACACUCUGCAGCCACAACCUGCAUGCUGAAUAAUGUACUGGCAAGGUUCAAAGGCACAUGGAAGUACCUGCAAGAGGAGACAUGGUGGCCGGUCAAUCCGGACACUCUGAGUAACAUAAUCAAUGCCUGCUGCAUAUUGCAUAACAUAGUCAUAGAUAUGGAGGAUGAUGCAGCCAUGCCAAGCUCUGAAGCUGAGGAUUGGAGUUACCAUCAGCAAGUGCGCCAGUUAGCAAAUGAGGACGCUGUCAGGGCAAGGGAUAUGUUGUCGCAAUUUUUCUUGGCCAGAAUGUCAUCCGAAUUGGGAGUGGAUGCAGAGGAGGACCAUGAACUAGCUGCAACAGGCUCAGGGGACGAAAACAAGGAACAAGAAGCAGAGACAAAAUCAGCAGAGGAAGAGAGGCAAUGUUAGACAGGUGGAGGAUGGAGGAUUGUUGCUUUAGUUUGACUCCAGAAAUCAAAAUCUAGGAAAAAAGACGAGUUGGAGACUUUUGGCAGAAGAUGUACACCUGCACAAGGCACGUAACUAGUCAAGCUGUCCUCCAUAUAGGAUGGUCAAGCUCCACAAAUUUGGGAUUUUUCUGAGUGAAAAUAUAUAUCCCCACUUGUCGAUGAAACCCAAGUGAUGCCGAAUUGCUUCCUGACUACGAGUGAUUAUCAAUUCCGAAAAUCGAAUCACAAUCUCAAGAGUCAGUCAGAUGUAUGAACUGAAGGAGUAGGCUAGGGCAGUGUUAAACUGUAUGUAGUACUACUAAAUUUCAUUGUUUUGAUUAUCCAUGAGUUUCAGUUGCAUUAAUUUUCACCCAGCUGUAGGAUCAAAGGCAGCAAUAGCCACUGGACGUCCGCUGUCGACCGAAUGAUUAGCAGAGGUUAACAAGGUCAACUUAGGCAGCCUAACACAUACGCAUCUUCCUGCUGAGGGGGGAUAAGUGAUUUUUUUUUUGUUUAAUCUCUAUGCAUGCCAUGUGUAGGGCAACAUAAAAGAACACUCUCUCUUGUCUCUCCUCGGUUUAACUUAACUAAAUUAAUCUUUUUCUCCUG
rnacentral:rRNA from 1 species